rnacentral:rRNA from 1 species
UACGUAGGGUCCGAGCGUUGUCCGGAAUUAUUGGGCGUAAAGAGCUCGUAGGCGGCCUGUUGCGUCCGCUGUGAAAGCCCGGGGCUUAACCCCGGGUCUGCAGUGGGUACGGGCAGACUAGAGUGCGGUAGGGGAGAUUGGAAUUCCUGGUGUAGCGGUGGAAUGCGCAGAUAUCAGGAGGAACACCAAUGGCGAAGGCAGAUCUCUGGCCGUAACUGACGCUGGAGGAGCGAAAGCAUGGGAGCGAACAGG